GGCUGAGGAGCUGGCGCGGCCGCGGGGCAGGGCUGAGGAGCUGGCGCGGCCGCGGGGCAGGGCUGAGGAGCUGGCGCGGCCGCGGGGCAGGGCUGAGGAGCUGGCGCAGCUGCGGGGCAGUGCCGCGGGGGCCCACGAGGUGGCGGUCGCAGGCUGCCCGCCCGCGCUCCUCCAGCCCUCUGCCCUUGCGCGCAGAGACUCCGCGGCAGGCGGGCGAGCAGGAGCGCUUCCUGCAGCUGGUCUCUUCCACUUGGCCGGUCCCUAGCUGUGAGACCAGCGCCUAGUAAAACCAAACCAACCCAAACAAACAAAACCCCUUCAGAGUUUACCUAGAGCAAUGCUAGGGACCGAGCCAGAGGACCGGUGAGUGACGUCCCGAGGGCUGGCAUCUCCCUGGGUGUCGCCAGUGACCCUUUCCUCGGAGAUGCAGCACUCUCCCACUGACUCCUCUGGUUCUAGAACUUUGCUGGUGUGUCUGGGGCAAGGGCUUGGGGAGGAAGAGUGUGAAAUCUUCUCUGGCUCUGCUCUACUACCUUCACUUUUGUGUGUUGUCUGUUUAAACCCCGAGCCACAGAGGAUGCAGCUGCUCCUGCAGUGAGAACAAACAGCCACAGGAAGAAUCUCCCCAAGGCAGUGGUGGAUUCCCCAACAGUGGAUGUCUUUAACAUUCAGCUGGACAGAGUGCUGGGCCACUGCGUCUAGACCAUGCUUCUGCCAAGAAAGGCUGGACCAGAUGAUCCCUGAAGUCCUUUCCAACCUGGUGCUCUGUGAUUCUCUGACAUGCUGCAUCCUGAUCCCUCCAGACAUCUGCACCAACAUACCCUGGGAGGUUUUGUGCAGGCAGUGGAGGCACCUGUGCAGAGAUGCAGCCAGAUCUCCACUCCCAUGGGACAAGGUGUGAAGCAACAUGGGAUUUCAGGAGUCCAUUCCUCAGCCCCUAUCCCACUGGAGUAUUUUUCUUCUCUCUUCUCUGUAUACCAUGGAAAAUUGAUGUUUUUUCUCACUGCAGCUGAGUGAAGCUCUGAGCCCCUGGAGACAGGCAGAAAGGGAAGGGUUUGGUGAGAAGAUCUCCAGCAUUGCACUCACUGUUCAUUAGACACACACACUUCAACCGAAGCAAACUCCCUCUGAUGAAAGGGAACCUGUGUCAGCUUGGGAAUAAAUCUCCCUGCUUGGAGAAAGAAAUGAGCAGGUUUCCUGCCAUGGACUCACCUUAACUUAGGCUGCAUGCUCCCUUGAUGACACAGGUGCCAGUGCCUCUGCUUUGCCCUUGGACACCUCCAAGUAUCAAUUGUUUUUGCUUUUAUCCCGAGGAGCUCAGGAACAGACUGUCCAGUUCAGCCAGACUUGACAAGGAUGUCCCAGAAGGAGAUCUCUCACAAACUCCAGAGAUUUCAGGCUGCUGGAAGAAAAAACUUCUCAAGUGCCUCUGUCAAGGGCUGCCUCAACAGCACUACUAAACACUGGAGACUCCACAUUGAAUCAUUUUGGGGGUAUUUGCACAAGAGGUCUGUGCCCAACCAGCCUGGCCACUCCGCUGCAUUAGGAAAUCCCCGCUGCCUGAAGACCCCACAAGGAGAGGAGCUGCCAGGAGGGCAGGGAAGGUAUUAGAAUGUCCUGGGCAGGAGAGAGCAUCACUACUGAGGUUGGGAUUGCCCACCCGGGACCAGGACAGGAAGGCUUUGGAGAAGGGUGGCUGGAGAGAAGGGACAAGGCUGAGUACUGGCCAAUUUAACCCUUUGCAUGCUGGCAUUUUCCAGGCGGUGAGCCAAAUGACUGCUGGGGAAGAUGUGUAUAACACAUGUCUGCAGUCUCCAAAGGGUUGUUAACUGUGCAGCAAUGGCCAUGAGGCCUGGCUGCCUCGACAUGGAUUUGAAAUUGAAAAAAAAAAAACCAAACCCAUGAGUUUCAGAGAGGGAGAGGGCUCAUUUCCUAGGAACUGCAGGGCCAAAUCCACUCUGUGAUGGUGAGAGGAGGAGAAACACUGCCCACCAUGGGCUGGGGACAGGGGAGAAGUGCAAACACCACAUCAGGGCCACAGCUCUCUCAUGCCAUACAUGUUAUCCUUGUCAGUAACAUCUUCAUGGCAUUUCUGAAAAGCCCAAGGUGUGAAAUUAGUCAAGGAGGUCUGUGUCUGACUAGACCUUGGGCUCAACAGCAACACUGCUGCACCUAGGACAGUUUCCUCUUUUCUUGUGUGGGUGCUUGCCCCCUUGCUCCUGGCUUCAGCCCUUGCCAGCACUCAGGUCUGCCUGUGAUGCUGCUCCUGUUUUGGGGUGUUGCAGCCUCUUGGGCCCAUGCCCAGACACUCUACAACUCUGCAUUGCCCAGCAGGGACCAGCCCUACCCUGAUGCAGUCUGUGUCAAUCUGCCUGGCUGCUAAGUGAGUCCUUCCAUGCAGUAAGUUACAGACUUCUCUUUAUUACUGUCCUUUUCCCCUACAUUACCACAUUUAUUCUUUCUCUGUAUCAUUACUAUGUUUUUGGCAGAGGACUUUGGAAGGGGGAGAAAAGUUAAUCCAAGUCCCCUCAUUGACCCCUUCCGAGGGAAGAGAGGAGGCACCAGCUUCAGUCCCUUAGCAAAUGAAGACAGCUGGUGGUCUGGGUUUAAACAUGACUGCUUGGGGCUCAGGCCAGCUUUGGCAGCUCACAAAUCAAAUUGCUUCUUGGUUCUUAGGAGUGGAGGAUUGCCAUGGAUGGAAGAGCUGUGGGGGAGCUGCUGGCCAGAGCUGCUGUGCCAGCCACGGCCCUGGCCUUGAAGGGAGGUGCUGAGAUUGCUGGUUUACAACAGCUCAGGAGAGAAAUUCAGGCUCUGAGGCUUUGUUUUAACAGAGUUACUCUGCUGACACACAGCAUGGCAGUCCUGACCUGAGAUUCUGACUCACUUGAAUGGGUUCUGGGCCAGAUUGGGUAACCAUGUUAGAAGGCAGAAUGAGCCUUGAAGGACCUAGGAAAAAAAAACACAGAGCUAGUAAAUCUCACCUGAACUCAUGCUGAGAAGGUGAAUUUGAGCCAUGAGUCCUGACUUUACCUGGAUUUUGUUUGCUGGGAGCUGGUUGCAGGUCCUCGGUUUUGCCCUUGCUGCUGUUCACUGGCAACACCAAGUGGCACCACACUGGAGAGAUGAGUAACUUCCUUGAGACCGCAGCAGGAGCUACGACAUCUGCAUGCAGUCAUACCUUAUGGUGCUG